rnacentral:tRNA from 1 species
GCUCGCGUAGCUCAGUUGGAAGAGCAUUGGGCUAGUAUUCCAAAGGUCGUAGGUUCGAAUCCCACCGUGGCCG